GAUGCCUCGUAAAGCAACUGGAC
rnacentral:miRNA from 1 species